CAGUCGAACGCGUCUUGGUUAUUGAUGUUAAGUGCUUGCAUUUAAUUGAUUUAACAUUGAGACGAGUGGCGAACUGGUGAGUAACACGUGGGUAACCUGCCCUUGAAGUAGGGGAUAACACUUGGAAACAGGUGCUAAUACCGUAUAACAACCAAAACCACCUGGUUUUGGUUUAAAAGAUGGCUUCGGCUAUCACUUUAGGAUGGACCCGCGGCGUAUUAGCUUGUUGGUAAGGUAACGGCCUACCAAGGCAAUGAUACGUAGCCGACCUGAGAGGGUAAUCGGCCACAUUGGGACUGAGACACGGCCCAAACUCCUACGGGAGGCAGCAGUAGGGAAUCUUCCACAAUGGACGAAAGUCUGAUGGAGCAACGCCGCGUGAGUGAUGAAGGGUUUCGGCUCGUAAAACUCUGUUGUUGGAGAAGAACAGGUGUGAGAGUAACUGUUCACAUCUUGACGGUAUCCAACCAGAAAGCCACGGCUAACUACGUGCCAGCAGCCGCGGUAAUACGUAGGUGGCAAGCGUUGUCCGGAUUUAUUGGGCGUAAAGCGAGCGCAGGCGGUUUCUUAGGUCUGAUGUGAAAGCCUUCGGCUUAACCGGAGAAGUGCAUCGGAAACCAGGAGACUUGAGUGCAGAAGAGGACAGUGGAACUCCAUGUGUAGCGGUGAAAUGCGUAGAUAUAUGGAAGAACACCAGUGGCGAAGGCGGCUGUCUGGUCUGUAACUGACGCUGAGGCUCGAAAGCAUGGGUAGCGA
rnacentral:rRNA from 1 species